GAAACCUGCNCAUGGCUCAUUAAAUCACACCUAAUCUACAGGAUAAUUCAAGUUACUUGGAUAACUGCGGUAAUUCUGGAGCUAAUACAUGCUACAAACUGUGAACUUACGUGAGCAGUGCUUUUAUUAGAUCAAAACCAAACGUUCUAGGACGUACUCUUGGUGACUCUGAAUAACUUUGUGCAGAUCGUAUAGCCUAGUGUUUUUUACAUAUCCUUCGAAGGUGUGCCCUAUCAACUGUCGACUGUGGCAUAGACGCCCACAGUGGUUUUGACGGGUAACGGGGAAUCAGGGUUCGAUUCCGGAGAGGGAGCCUUAAAAACGGCUACCACAUCUAAGGAAGGCAGCAGGCACGCAAAUUACCCAAUGAACGCAGGUCGAGGUAGUGACGAAAAAUAACCGAUAGCGGGACUCCUCCGAGGCCCGCUAAUUGGAAUGGAGUACACUUUUAAAACCGUCCCCGAGGGAUCUAUU
rnacentral:rRNA from 1 species